rnacentral:rRNA from 1 species
GAUGAACGCUGGCGGCGUGCUUAACACAUGCAAGUCGAACGGGAAACCUUUUAAUGAAGCUUCGGCAGAUUUAGCUGGUUUCUAGUGGCGGCCGGGUGAGUAACGCGUGGGUAACCUGCCUUAUACAGGGGGAUAACAGUCAGAAAUGACUGCUAAUACCGCAUAAGCGCACAGGACCGCAUGGUCCGGUUUGAAAAACUCCUGUGGUAUAAGAUGGACCCGCGUUGGAUUAGCUUGUUGGUGGGGUAACGGCUCACCAAGGCGACGAUCCAUAGCCGGCAUGUGAGGGUGAGCGGAGACAUUGGGACUGGGCCACGGCCCAGACUCCUACGGGAGGCAGCAGUGGGGAAUAUUGCACAAUGGGGGAAACCCUGAUGCAGCGACGACGCGUGAAGGAAGAAGUAUCUCGGUAUGUAAACUGCUAUCAGCAGGGAAGAUAGUGACGGUACCUGACGAAGAAGCCCCGGCUAACUACGUG